rnacentral:rRNA from 1 species
GACAGAGGGUGCAAACGUUGCUCGGAAUUACUGGGCGUAAAGCGCGUGUAGGCGGACUGGUAAGUCGGACGUGAAAUCCCUGGGCUCAACCCAGGAACUGCAUCCGAAACUAUCAGUCUGGAGUGGUGGAGAGGGAAGCAGGAUUCCUGGUGUAGAGGUGAAAUUCGUAGAUAUCAGGAGGAACACCGGUGGCGAAGGCGGCUUCCUGGACACUAACUGACGCUGAGACGCGAAAGCGUGGGGAGCAAACGGG